UUUUUUCUUUUUAAUAAUUAUUUUUUUAUUCUUCUGUCUGUUAGGUGACUCUAAGAAACACAGCUUCACAAAGGAAAAGCUAUUUUUUGUCAUCUAGUUUACAGCAGAAGAGGUGCUCUACCUAUUAUGUUGCUUUCUUUCAGGUCAACAAAGGACUCACUAAAAUAUGACAUAAAAUGCUUUUGAUUAUCUCAUAUGUAACGUAGCUUUUCUGACUGAGCUAAGUGACUGGGAAGGGGAAGAAAGAAAUGGAGAGAGUAAGCAAUUCUAGACCAAAGAUCUGGAAAAAGUUUACUCUUUUGACUGCAGUUAAAUCUGCUUUUUCUAAAGGGCUGCCUUAAGCAUAUCCAUCACAAAGAGCUUAAAUCAUGUUGUAGCUGAUGGGUAUUUCUGUACUGUAGUCAGAAUAAAGGUAACCCUGAUGUCAUGAAAUGCCAGUAACAUUACACCCAACAAAAUGUAGAUAAGCUAAAAGCAAUGUAAUAUUUUUUUAAAAAAUAAGACUGCUCUUUAGCUACUGCACCCAGCACCCCAGGCUAGAAAAGUAGUUGGUGCAAGUGUCUAACCUUUACUACAAAUGUAUUUGUACAUGAAGUAUCCAAGCUCCAGGACCAGUGGCUUCCUAAUAAAGCUCACUUUCUAGGGCAGAAUAUUAUGGGCUGAGAAAUUUUUUAAAUCACAGGGAGCAAAAAUGGGUGUUUUGACUGGAGAAUAGGAUGGUCCACCUAGCAGCAGACAGUGGAGAGUGAUUCAGACACUUACAGUUGAGAAUGGGAGCUGAUACAAAGCACAGCUGUAAGAAAUGUAAGGGAAAAUACAUCAAUUCAGAUCUAGUCAGGCACCAUGGACCCAAUGGUUUUAAACAGCCUGUGAUUCCACUUCCUCCCUUCUGAUGCCCAGUCGGCUGUAAGCACGAGAUUGUAGGUUAAAUAAAUACAAUUGCAAACGACAGCAUUUAGCUCUCUAAUUACCUGCUGGUCCCUGUAAUUUAUUGGCCCUGCAAAUCUAUUUCUAGGAAGGUGGGAGCAAUUCAAUUACACUUCAAACAAAAGCAAACUUGGCAGGCACAGAUCUGCAGCUACAGGUGCUGAAAGUGUUCUCAAGCAUAUUAUAUGAGGUGUUUCAUUCAGGUAAUGCCUUGACUGGGGCUUCUUAGCUGGAUUCUCAGCUAGAAUCACAUUGUAUUGCUCUGCUCCUUAUUCACAGUCAGAAUGUAUGCUUCCUUCAGUUUUUAAAAAACAGCCUUUUAACCAUAGAAGCAUACAAGAUGCUGCACGGAUGUUUCAUUUGAAUAUUUAUGCACAUUACUUUUUCUGAGUCUGGGCAGAAGUCAACAGCCUAUAGUUAGUAUGACCUGACAAGACAUACAUAAAUUAUGCUUUUUUUGUUUUGUUUUGUUUUCCUUAUGAUUGAUUGAUCGUUUGUUUCUAUAGUAGGAGACCAGUACAUGAUUUUAGUAAGCAAAAUUAGUGACAGACUCACCCUGCUCUUCACUAAGACAGGGUAGAAUAAAUAGGAACACAGCUAUGUCCAGGUGAUGCAGUGAUUGUCUGUGGCAAGUCAAUCUUCUUUGGGCUGAAAUGUGUUUCCUUACAGGAGUGAAAAAGCUGAAAGUAGAAAGCCCUGCAGCCCAGCAGGAUGGAGGUGAUGGCUGUUGUGCAACUCAUUUAGUGCCUGGAGCUGCCUUCCAGAUCCUCUCUCUCCAGCACAGUGAGGAGUUUACAGGGGAAAGGAAGCUAAUUCCCACAGUGGCAUGUAGAAGUGUGGAGCAGUGUGUUACACACGUUUAACUGCUUUAUAUAAUACGUUCCCGGGGUGAUAAUCCUCACACUAUGUACGUACAUAAAUAGGUUUUUGUUUUUAGCACAGACUCCUUCUCAGAAACCCAUUUGGAGCCUUCUUUCACAUCAUUUUCUUGCCAGCAAUUUCUUCUUUUGCUGUAAUGAUGAAUAUCAGUACAAAUGCAAUACAAGCCAAACAUAAAAAAAUCUCUCCAGCAUUACAGUUCUGAGUGCCCAGCCUAAGAGACCAGCUACAUUAAUACCACCACAUUCCUGAGAAGGACAGCAGCCAGCAACGCACAUAACGUGAUAACCACAAACUGCAGACUACCAUCCUCUACACCCUCUUUACCGACUAUUUAUACAUCAGUGCCAUCUCUCCCAAAGGUGCCUGAAGCAAUCUGGCAUAGAGGGUAGGAAUCCAUUGUCUUUAUUACAAACCUCUUUACCGACUAUUUAUACAUCAGUGCCAUCUCUCCCAAAGGUGCCUGAAGCAAUCUGGCAUAGAGGGUAGGAAUCCAUUGUCUUUAUUACAAACCUCCAUGUCAGAUGUCCUCAGCCUGCAAGGCUUGAUUUUCUGUUUGCCUGUAGUAAAAUGCUUAAUCAAUCUGAAAAACAGGAGGGUUUCUAAGACCUUCUGUCUGAAGUGUUUACAGUACUUGGGAAAAUACUUUGGAAAAACUUCCUGGCCACCUGUCCUCAAAAAAUCAGCUCCGUUUUUCAUGUUCUAAGUAGUCCUUUCUUCUGUGCCUUUCUUCUGUGCCUUUACUUCUGCACCAUUCACCGCACAUACAGCUACUUUUGGCAGGUGACCAGCUGAUAGUGGUAAAGAUUUUUUCCAUUAUUAAUGGAGACAAAUAAAGUUUUAAUUAUGCAUAUACUAUGGACUCCUAUGGAAUUGCUCAGGCAAGCACCAGCAAUGAGUAAUGUGGCUGUCUAUGAUGCUGUGAGAGCCAGACACCCUGACAUUAGGGUGCUUGCAGACACCCCCUCCAUGGCUACACUUGCUUUCAAAGCCUUCCCAGGACAGGCAGCAGGAUGGGACAGUGAGGAUGGAACACUGGCAGUGGAGCAGUUGUGAUGGAGGGCCCAUUUCCAGCUUGCUCAUGGUGUGGUGGGGUGAUGCUGGCCAUGCCCAAACACAGCCCUCUCCUUCCACCCUGCCCAAUACCUGGUUCUAACUUGUUGGAGUGUAUUUCCCAGCAUGAGAUGUUACACUCUGCUCAUGUGCAUUCUCAUAACAGGUAAACUCCAAGUGGUUUUGUUUGUUUGUUUGUUCCUUUUCUAAAAUGCUCUCUGAUGUGACUGUGAGUCUCAAAUUCUGCCAUGGUUCCUGAACUGCACCCUAAAUCCAGUGUGUACAGCCAUCCUGUCCAUCCUCGUUCCUGCAGAAAAGGGGAGGGACUGGGUCUGCACAGCCAAGGGAGCAGGUCAGAAACAUUCCUCUUGCUGUUCGAUAAGCUUAGCUAAAAACCUGAGACUUUGCUUUAAAAGCUGCACAGCAAGCUUUAGUUACAUGCAGAUCAGCCUCAAGUCACAUUAAAUUGAGUAUGAAAUAAAAACUGACCCCAAGGUGCAGGUGACAGGGUUGGGUGGCUGACCCAGCCUUACUGGGGGAUCUUUAGCUGCAUCCUAAUGCCACUGUGAUUUCCACAGCCUCCAGCUCCUCAAUCCCUCCUUUGAUGUGUCUCAGUGAUCUUUUCAGGUGGUUUAUUCCACAGCCUGAUCAGCUUUAACACAGAAAAGUUUAUACCUGACCUGAAUCUCUGCUUCUUUACACAGAGCUGAUCAGCCUUCAUUUUAUCCCUCACAGUUUUGGGUAAGAAAAACUAUUUUUCUCUUACUUCUUUUCACAUUUCAAAUGUUUGUGCAGUGUUACUAUCUUCCUCUGGAUUUGGGGCUUUUAUUGAAACAAUAUGAGACUGGGUGAUAGAGAAGGCAUACCAACACAGGAGCAGAUAGAGAUCUUUAGAGUAAGCUAUGGGAGAAUCCAAGCAUGUUGCACUAUAUUUAAUAUGUGUAUAUCUAUGUUGAGCUAAAUAUGUGUAGGAGGAUGCUUAUGUUCAUAUCCAUAAAAAUGUACAAACAUACACACACACAUUAAUUCCCAUCAUAAAUAUUCUUCAUUAAUUAGUUACUCUUUUAAUGCUACAAGAAAUUCUGCACACACACCAAAAAAAAUCAUUUCUGAAUAGUCUCUAAAAGCAGCUAAGCUUUAAGCAUAGCAGAAUCUCUAUGAGAGGAGCUAGGAAGGAUUUUUUUCCCUUACAUGCCUCUUACUGGAUUUUGUGCACCUUAUUUUCCAGAGCAGAUGGAUACUGGUGAAAAUGUCUCAGCAGUCUGAUCCCAUACGGCAGGCUUUAUCUUACUACUUUUAAUCAAAUUUAUACAUCCUCAAGAACACAACAAAUAUCUGAAUGCACAGUAAAGGAGUCACAGAGCAUAGCAGUAUGGCUAGUGCAUGAGCAGAAGCCCCAACUCCCCAUGUCCCAUUUGUCAUAAUUUCUUUACCUCAUGUAUAUUCUUCUGCAGCCUUUUGUGCUGGGUGCCUCCAGAGAGGGACUCCAUCAGCCUCUCUACCAGGUCACCAGCCAUACAGUGUGGCCAGCAACGUGGGAUAUGCUGCUGCCUGUGUCCUGACCACACAGAGGAAGAGAAUGGCACAGCCCUGGGCUGUGCUCACCCUGUCCCUGUGGGUGGCAGGUCAGAAGUCCUGCACCUAUGCAGUGGGCCAUCUGCUGACCUGUGAGACCUCCAAGCACCCUCCCUCCCUCUUGCAGAGCUUUCCCCCCAAGUCCUCCUGCCAUGUACUCCCUAUCCAUAUUCUUAGCUGAGCUCCUCAGGUUUUGCCCUGAAAAAAGGGACGCUGUCACACCAUUCAUUCCCUAUGUUUGAAUAAAAGCACUGUGGCUUUGUUUCUAUGAAGCCUGAAGCACAUUUCAAAUCUUGAAAACUGUUGCAAAACCAGCAGCCUUCCCUGUGACUUAAUUUUCAAAGGCACUGAGUUAAUUCCCAGAAGGCGGUGGAAAUGCUGUCUGUGAUCAAGAGGGCUGUGUCUAAGAAGAAUAAGAAUUCCCCUACAACUAAUUUUUACUGACUGCGUACAUGAGAGCAGACAACCCUGUGGAGAGCAGGUCAAAAUGGCCCUGGUACUCUGGGUAUGCCCUGGUGGGACAGAUCCACAACUGCCUGCACACCGGCUUGGCUUCAGUGUAAAUGUACUGGGAAGAGGAGCUGGUAUUUUCAGCUUCAAUAAGCUUAAUUUACCUGUAUCUCCACCAGCUAGUUACUGUUUUACUGUUACUAUGCUAAGAAGUUUUCUUUAACCCUAAAAAGCCAAAUGAUUAGGGGAGGAAUAUGGGGGAAAAAAUAAUGAUUUCCAGCAAUUCAGAACUGCAGGCUUUGAAUCAUUUGCCACGUCUGGAGCUGUGGCAGGGUGAGAGAUGGCAUUUCCAAAUCAUCAGCUUCUGAAAGGCAAACUGAGUGCAGCCUGCCUGCUAAAAUCUGGACUGAAGGAAGAGUUUGGCCACAUAAGGAAUGGUUUCAGUAUUACUGAGAGCUUCUGAGAAACAAACAAGUUUAUAUUUGAUAUGAUUCCAUAUUAACAGAGGCUGACCUUAUCUGAGGGCAGCCUUAAAAGGGAAGUCUGUUCGGUCCAAGGCUUGAGAGUAAACAGACAAGUGGUCCUUAUGAGAUCUGGCCACAUGAUACCAGGCAAUACCUGCUCUGCAAAAUGCUGCAAUAGGCUCCAGUUUUCUUCCAAGCAAGUUCAGCCUUGGUUUUGACCAAGGUAUGCCAUUUGGGAUACAAGCUCUUCUUUGUGGACAGAGGAGCUGAAAACAUUUGACAACUUUGUUUAACUAGGCUCCUGGCAGAGCAAGCAUCGGAAAGGAAACCAAAGAACCUUUUUUGCUUACAAAGAUGCUGAAGGCCUUCUCAACAGAUGUCUUACCUUUGGAGUUGUGCUAUCCAGACAGUGUGCUCAGUCCUCUGCAUGCAUGCACAGUCUUGUUCUUUACAUGAUCAAAGGUAGACAUGGACUGGCUGGAUUCCCCACUUGGCUGACCUGUGCCUAGGUGAGACCAGAGGAGAUUAUGGUCCUUCAGCCUACAGGAGGUACAAUUCUACUUGACGACGCUCAAUGGAAAAAUUGAAACUUGUUUAUGUGAGAUUGAUACUGCUUCAUUGUGUUCUUCUACAAUCACAAUCAAGAAGUUGUAUAUGGAGUUCUAUGAAUUUACAGCAAUGCCUAUAAAAAUGCAGCAAUGCAAAACUCAAGAGCUUCCAUUUUGGAAAAUUUUGUGUAAAUCUUGCCUAUUCUAUUAUUUUCUGUAGCUGUUCUCUGAUUAAAAGUACAGCUUUACAGAGUAAAACAUAUAGAAUUGAAGGAAGCCAGCAUAUGCUAUUUUAGUGAGUAUAUUAUCUAAAGUGGGCCUUCCAUCUGUUUCAGAACUAAUUAUUACAUCAUCUUUAUGUAGCUCGAUUUACAAUGAGUGAAUUAAAUGCUUAUGUGAGUGCUUCAUACAAUGUGAAACACAGCUGUGACAUUUUUAGAGGCAGAACAGGGCAAAAUGUUCUAGACAUACUGAAUUUCAUUUUUCUUCUGUUUACAAAAAUAUUCCUUUGUAGCAAAUAUUUUUCACACUCCCUUAGUAAUACACAAUUGUAUUUUGAAGAACCACAGAGCAUCCAUUUGAAUUGCAAUAAAAUACUGAGUAUUUUUAUCUCUCAAAGAAAAGAUUUUGAGUUUAGUGAUCAAAACAGCUAUCUCUAUCAAAAAACAUUCAGAUAGUUCUUCCUAACCUAGCUGUUGCCAAACAAAGAUAGAUUAAGAUUAAUUGCAGUAAUUAAACAGAGGGACAGGGUACAGCAUUAGUAGGAGCAAUGUAUCACAUUCGUUGUUUCCAGAUACUUUAUUCAAAAGGAAAACAGAAAAUCACAUGAGCUCUAGUCUAGGCUAUGUACAUUUUCUAUUAGCUGGUACUCAUUUACAAGGCAUGUGCAGUAUGUAACUUACCAUAGCAUAUCUUUCUUUAAUAAAUCACUUUAGCUGGUAAAAGCAAGCCAGAUUUAGAACAUAUUUCUUGAUUAUACUAUAGUCCUUUAAAAUAGUUUCAUGUGAGCAUUUUUUUAACUUGCAUUUUUUGUUUUGCUGUUCAAAAUUUGACCGAUAAAUUUUAGUGAAAAAAAGGUAGAAUACAUAUUAGGGUCUAGCCAAGUCUUUUGCUGAAAAACAAAUAAGAAAUAUCCACCAUUUUCUUCGCACUUUUUCUCUAUGCAGUCUUUUUGGUGGUGGUGUUUUUUUUGGUUGGUUUGUUGAUUGGUCUGCCUUAAAAGGCACUCCGCCUGAAGCCAGUUUUGGCCACAUUAGUGGGCUCAGGUUACAAUGUCACUGGGUUCACAGCAGGACAUUGCAAAUUAACUAUAUUGCAGUUUACAAGACUUGACCAUAUACCCAUCUAAAACCCCAAGACACUGGUUGUUUCCACAGAAUAGAAAAUAAAGGACUGCCUCUUCUCCCCCAGACCAUAUCCUGACAGGAUGAAGGGAUAGAAUUAAAAAUCGUGCUUCUAUUUAGGAUAGUGGAAUGCACAUCAGCCAAUAGAGCAUGGGCUUAGCACAGCUCCUUUGCACCUCCAAAACUCCUGCUCUCUCAGCAUGCUUCUUCCCCACACAGCUGAUACAAGAGCAGUCACUUCUUAGCAAGACAUAAGUUAUUUCAAUAAAUAAUAAUACUUUAAAAGUAUAAUUCCUUUUAUGUCUACUUCAGUGCAGCAUAAGCACACCCUGUUUUGGAAGCAUUGGCACAGCUAAAGGCUUAGUCAUUAGUCAACAGAAGAGAAAUACACAGGUUAAAAAAUCAAUAGGCAGUUUUGCGGGCAGAAAGGAGCAGAAAAUAAACAGAUCUGUGUUCGAGAAAACAAGUAUGUAUUUUCUUCAAUUAAGCUUUGAACUGGAGAGUCAACCUGAUGAUGGGAGGAAAAACACUAAGCAAAACUGGGGAGGGGGAAUUUGUCCCUUGCAAAUAAUUACCCAUGAACAGUUGCCUGCUCUGACAUCUUUUGAUUGAGCUAUUUCUAGACCUAACCCUUUGCUUGUAAAUACUGAUGCUAAUCUUGUUUUAGAAAUGUUUCAGCUUGGCAAGACAUUAAUAAACACUGUCCCAGAAAAUGCUUGGAGUCCAGCCAUACACAAAGCCUUGUUUUAAUAGAUGGAUCAAUGGUGGAGGUAGGUGAAGACCAGGAGAGGGAUUCUCAGAUUUCUUAGUGGCUCUUCAGACACAUUUUGAUCCAGUAAAGACCUGUUUUGGCCUUUUAUAAAUAUCUGCAUAAGACAAAUUAGCUUGUGUUAAUGUUCCUAGAAAACAAAAUUCAGUUCACAGACUGAAGUUUGCUUGGUGGGAAAAUAAAAUUUAAUAUAGUGGAAAAAGCAGGCACCCCGUAAUGGUAGAGUCAUCCAGAAGGACAGCACAGUAAAACAAGGGGAUACCUCUUCAUAUUUGGACUACAAAUUCUCUAGCAGUUAUAGGAUCAUCCAUUACUAACUAUUCACUGAAUGCUUACAGAAAGGGAAUCGGUUGUGUAGGCCAAAAGUGAUUUGUGAUUACAGACUCUAAGCCUCCUUAUAGGGGUCUGAUCAUCAGGAACCAAUGUAUUCAAGAGGCACUCUCAAGAUGCUUUUGAAAACCGUAAGUCACCAUCUGUUAAAUAAGGAGAAAAUUACAGGAAGUCUUCUCUUAUUGCAAUGGAUUGUUAUUAUUAGUUGUUAAAAUAGAUUGGCAGCAUGUGCUAAACAACCACAGAUAGGUCCCCAGUAUUGCAGAAAGUUUAAUACAAACACAAAAUAUGCUGAACAAAAGAGACAAAUUUAAGUCUAAGCAGCUUACAAUCUGAAUAAUGCAUUAACAGGAAAUAAAGAAAUGUUAUUUUCCUUAUUCAGUGCAUAGCCGUCAAUAAACUUUCACCACAUAUCCACGGCUAAAGGCCUUCUCACACUAUGCCAGGUGAAGGGUGUUAAUAGCAACAAGUGUCACUGGAGGGAAGUGGUGAGCGGGUCUUUGGUACAACCUGUUGUUGAUAAGAGUGAUCCCUGUCCAACUGAAGAGUGAGCUUCAGCUGCCAAGCAAAUUGCUUUUGUUUGAUCUUGCUACUGCAGCCAUGUAGGGAAAGGUGCCAAGUACAAUUCUGAAGUAGCCUUCUAAUAGUGGACAGCUAACAUGAGAGGUUGCUCUGAGUGGAAACACAACACACACAGUUAUUUAUUUCCUGGUGUGGGAAGGCUUACUGUUUUCUAACACAUGAUGAUGAAUAUAGCAUUCAUAAUUGAAGAAAACCUUAGGUUCUCUUUUGGCUUAGGCAGUAUCUGAAUUGUGGCCUAAUCGUUUGUGUGUGACAUCCUGCAGCCUGUACUAACAAAAAAUAUAUAUCUUUUGAAUUGCACAGACAGAGUAAAAGCCCCAAACAGAAUCUGACAGGGACCAUGUUCACCUUCCCCUUCCAUAGCUUUUCCUUAGAUUCUUACGACCAGCAGAAUGUUUAUGGAAACAUAUUUAGAAAUACAUUAUUAGCAAUACAGACUUUAAUAUCAUGAUUCUGCUUCAUUCUGUUAAAAAGAGAAAUAUACUUUAGCAUCAAAGUCAAUAACUCAUUACAGAAGUCACCAUCUAGUGGUAUGUAAGAACACGUACUGCUGCUAUUGAAGUUUAGAGGUGGUUUUAGGGACUCAAAAUAACGUCUUCAGUUCUGCUCAGGAUGAACUUGUGUACUUCAAGCUAGCCUCUCAGUGAAUAUAUAUAUGGUGUAUAAUAUCAGAAUAUUUAAUAAUGCAUUUUAUGUAUUUUAUAUGCAUGUAUUAAUAUAUUAGUAUCUAUAUUUUAAGCAAAUCUGGUGUUACUCAGAGCAAAACUUCGUUCAAAUGAUGCUUUAAAAUGAUGGUGCGCAUCAGUGAAACAAACCAUCUGUUUUUAGCCCUCUCUUCUCUUUAUUCAUUUAUAUUCUUUGCAUCUCUUUAUGUGCAUCUAUAGCUAUACAUACAUCUUUAACCAAUGCUCCACGACAUAUCCUUUAAAGUGUCUGUAUUUCUAACUAACCAGCUGAGUUGCAGAGAGAAACUCGUGGUUAACUAAUACUACUCUAUAACUGCUGGAACAAGUGACAUCUCCCCCACUGCAGCUAUCUGUUCAGAGGGAAAGCUAUUAGGACUGACAAAGAGAAGCUCAUUCUUGCUCAUUAUAUUCAGAGCCCUUACAGAUGAGGCAAUUUUUCACUCUUCUCAGUUAUGAUAAAAACUGAGGACAAAUACAGCAUUAUACUCUAUUCUGCUAUAUCUAAAAAUGUUCUGAAUUUAUUUAUCCUUCAAGUAAAGUUGUAUGCAAACCAGCAGUCUUCCCCUCCCUUCCCCCAGUCUACCUUUCUUAUCUGCAUUUAUAUUUAGCAUUAUCACUGAGCCAAAUCUUUGAGACCUCAUUUGACUUUUUACCCAAUCUUUCUUCUUGCAUUAGUCACCAUAUGAGAUUUGUCUGACUAAGAACUAAAUUAAGACUUCACACAGAGGAUGUGCACUAGAACUUCUUGAUGAAAAAAAAAAAAAUCCCAUGGCAAACAAGAUAAGACAAAUUACAAAGGUGCAUGAUAGCAAGCUAUGGCAUUUCUGCUGUUGGGCUUCCAAAGCACCAAGGGAUAUGUGGUAUGGAGCUGGAGGUGAAGAAAUGAGGUAGGCAUGGUGAGAGGAAGGCUGGUCUAUAAAUAAACAAGUAUGAUUAGCACUUGACCAUGUGCUAAACAUUUGUUGCUGGGACUCCCAUGGAAAGAGCAGUGUCAUCUGUCACAGAGGCUAAUACAAGGUGCUAAUAAAGGCUGACUUACCCUCUUCACUGCAAGGUUGCAAACUUGACCCCUUUACACGGCUCUAACUACCACCUACUUUUGUAAGGCAUCUAUUAUGGUGACCUCUAAUGUCAAGGCAUUGUGGUGAAAGAUCUUUCCAUGGGUGAGUGCUACAGUGAUAGAGCCAGACUUCAUUAAAGGCAAGAGCACAAAGGAAUGAAACCACCUAACAAAACAUUUUGCAUGCUUUGGGCAUGAAUUUGCAAAAUUUAAUCUGAAAUGCAGAGAUUUUAAACACUGCCACCAGCUUUCAGUUCGUGCCUUCUUGUACUGAGGUCUGGAAGAAAAGGACAAGAGAUAACUCUCUAGAGUCAUCAGGUUUUGCUCCCACAGUAGCAAGAUACCACACAACAGCUUAGGCACAGUACCUGCCCAUAUUUUUUAUACUGUUGUAAAUGCAAAUAAAAUAUUUUACCUUAAAUUCCUCCAUUUAGCUACUGUAUUUUAGUUCACAUUUAUCUUUGGUUAAAAGCAGGGUUCCUGCAGUUCAGCUCAAGUGAGCUGACUUCUUAGACCUCACUUGGCUGCUUCAGCCUGUAAAGUCCGCCUUUGUGGUCCUCUGUGGUGUCUAGGGAGGGGAAGAAAGCUGAAGGAAUAGUAUUGAGUCAGAUAUCCUGAGAGCCCUAGUGUCAAUAGGAGGAAUGCAGAGUCAUACUAUCAAUACCUAAGGCUAUGCAUUACCCUUAAAAUACAAUUCAGUCCUCUCCUGGAUGAAUUUUCUGUGUUACUGUAUUCUUUUCUUUUCUAAAGGCAUGCUAUCUUAUAAGUAGCCAAGAGCACCCCUUGACUGACCUUUCCUUCUCACCAGUGCUCUUAAAAAAUUGCUUUUUGCAGAUGGGGUCUAAAAGGCAAGAUAGAGCACUUAAAGUUGGGGAUCUGUAGCACAAGCAUAGAAGAAAUAAAACCAGAAACACUUUAGAAGAAACCAAGAAGCAGCAAUAAGGACCCUAAAAGAACAAAGUGGAUUUAGGGAACACUGAGGCUCCACUGCUGUUACUGGAAGUACGUGUACACGGGAAAGAUGGAUAGCCAGAAUAGGCAGCCAGGUCUGCAGGUGGUACAAAUUAGCAUUGCUGUGGUAAAGUCAGAAGCACUGCACUGAUUUACACCAAUAGGGACUGAGGACUGCUGCUAGGAAGGAAUGUGUAGCAGCCCUGCAAUACACAGAUUUACUUUCUCUGGAGAAUAUUGUUUCAUUCCCUCCCGUAGUUUGUCAGUGACUGCUCCCUGGUGAGAACAUGAAGAAGUUGUCAGGUCUAUUAACCUUAACAAAUGUAAAUACGAACCCAAAAUGUGGAAAAAUGCUCUCAUCUGAAAUGAAUUUCAUUGUAACAGACUGCUGAGUUAAACAGUCCCUUUUGCAGCAGACACAGAAACACAGCCACUGAGAAAAUUGUUUACCUCAUUCUUUUCAGGUUGUCCUUCCUGCCUUUCUUUUGGUUUGGUUGCACACCUCACAUAAGCAACUGCAUUGAAGAAGGUAACUUCCCUAGUGGAGUCACUUGUCAAUUUAUCACAAAUAAUUUACUUUCCAUUCAAGACUGUUGUUUGCAAUUUAAUGCACCUGACAAAAAAAAAAAAAAAAAAAAAAAAAAAUCUUACCCACCAACUUGCUCACAAAGAUGCUGGUAGGAGCAAUCUUUAUGCUCAGUUCUUGUAGCAACUGACUGGAGCCAGGAGCCACAUCCCCUUAUUUCUCUUCCGUGAAGGAAUGGCAUGACCCCUGACCCCCGCUCCACUGUGAAAGAAACCCUGUUGCCUUUUACAGGUUGUCUUCAAACAUGGACAACUGUAUGGUAUUAGACUAAGAUCAAUGCUGAGAGUUUGAAGUGUGUCUUGGUUCGAGAUGGAGCUUAUAAAAUUUACAUUUCCUAUGAACUCUUUGGAAAAAAAAAAAAAAGUAAUUACCAUGAGACUCACUCAACAUUUCUUUUAGGGCCAUGGCUGGACCCAUACAGGAGGUCCUAAGGGACCCUACUACACUAUGGCUGGGACACUGGGAGCUGUGGGAAGUGGCCUAUUUCUCCUUGUGAAAAUUUGAUUCCUAAAGAGCUCCCAGCAUGGACCAUUACCCUGGAAGGGAUGGAACGGGGCUAGAGGGAGGACUGGACUCAGGAAUUCACUUGGCAGAUCUUCUGCAUUUCCUGCCAACAUACACACACAUGCUUGCAAAAAAAAGCUGGAUAAGAUCCCACUAAAAUUCAGUCUGUGCUUUGGGAUGGGUAGGACUUGCAGAGCAGAUCUGCAGCCCUUCUGCAGCUUAAGAAAGGGAGGAUCCAAUGUUCAGCUAAUGCUCUCAGAUUCAGUUCACUGAGAACCAGAUUCAUUCACAGACUGAAAGCUGAACACCACAAUGUUUAAGAAGUUAGAGGCCAGACUCUGCUUCAUGUCCGCAAGGCAGGAUUACAUGUAUGUGCUGAAUGGGGAUGGUCAGGCUCCGGGCUGCAGAAAUUGGACAUGUCACAGGACUGAGCGUUGUGCGGCUGUGGCAUGCCCAUCUAUCAGCUCUCUUAGAGCGGCUGUGCCCUCCAGCCAGGUGUAUGCAGGGAGGAAGCAGCCUGCCCAAGUUUGUCUGUCCAACCCUGUAAGUGCAGGGGCUGCGACUGAGGACUGCCAUGUUCUGAGUGUGGGUGUCCAAACCUGGAGACAGGAUGCUGAAAGCACAGCUGGGGAGAGAGACUCAAAUUUCACCCUGCCUUAUCUGCAGUUAGCUGUGAAGGUGGGUUUCAGCCUGGGGACUCAGGUAUCGGUACUGUGCUUUCAAGUGUUGGCAAACACCCUGUUUCCUCAUAAUACAGGGCAGCAAGAGAAGGGGGAGGAUUCUCUUUUCUUAACAGCCUAGAGACUGAAGGUUCUUGCUCAGUCACCAGGCUUUGAACUUCUGAGUAAGCCAACAUAAUGAGAAUUCAGAAGCAACAGGAGAGUUGUCUUAAUAUGCAAGAAUAUUCACAAAUCAUUUCCCUGGUAUAUUGCCACACCUUUGCGCAAGGAGACAAAGGAAAAAAACAGGACUCAUAUUUGACAGAAUAACUUAAAAUGUUUAAAGGAUACAUGUACGUAAGGUCCCUCUAGCUCCAUUUGCAUUUGGAUGCAAAAAGCUAUUUGUUUUUACUGUUCUUCUCUUCCAUUAAAAAGACAUUUAAACUUC